rnacentral:rRNA from 1 species
AUGCGCUUUAGCAAGACAGUGAAAAAGUUCAGUGAGAUUCAAUUAGGGCACAUCAGCAAAUACAAAAUGGAUGCCCUGCUUCACAUGCCAUAUCACCUAAACAUCCCAAUGAAUCUCCUUGAGUGGUUAGAUCAGCACAUUUUUGGUGUUACAGAGCCUUGUUUCAAGCACAAGAACAAAGUCAUCAAGAUUACUAAAGACAUGGUAGACAAGAUUUUUGAUUUCCCUGGCGGUACUGUUCCUUUUGUCUUCAACAGCAAUGAUCCUCAAGUGAAAGCAGAAGUUGCUCAGUUAAGAAGCAAGUAUAUUGAUUAUCGGAACAAGAUGCCUAUCAACAAGAUUGAGGAAGUGAUGCUAACUGACGAGAGUGAAGAUGGUUUCAUCAGGAGCUUCGUUUUCUAUUUCAUAUCAUCUAUACUUUGCCCAGCGUCAUACUAUUUUGGCAACACCAAAUUCCUCUUCUCUCUGAGAGAUGUGUCUGUAAUCCCUUCACUGGACUUUGGCCAAUUAGCAUUGGAUUUUAUGGUUGAAGAAUCAGAACGUCAUUUCGAAAUGAUAAUGAACAGACCAACACUUGAGGAAAUGAACAAGCCUUCCCACAUUGGCGGAUGCCUUCCUAUUUGGGGGGUAAUCCUUUUCCCUUCAUUUUUCUUGCUUGUUCUGCUUCUUUUACAUAUUUUUACUUCUGUAAUUAUUUUGCUUUCGUCAUAG